rnacentral:rRNA from 1 species
UAGGGAAUCUUCGGCAAUGGGGGGAACCCUGACCGAGCAACGCCGCGUGCGUGAAGAAGGUUUUCGGAUCGUAAAGCUCUGUUGUUAAGGAAGAACGAGUGUGAGAAUGGAAAGUUCAUACUGUGACGGUACUUAACCAGAAAGGGACGGCUAACUACUUGCCAGCAGCCGCGGUAAUACGCAGGUCCCGAGCGUUGUCCGGAUUUAUUGGGCGUAAAGCGAGCGCAGGCGGUUAGAUAAGGCUGAAGUUAAAGGCAGUGGCUCAACCAUUGUAGGCUUUGGAAACUGUUUAACUUGAGUGCGGAAGGGGAGAGUGGAAUUCCAUGUGUAGCGGUGGAAUGCGUAGAUAUAUGGAGGAACACCGGUGGCGAAAGCGGCUCUCUGGUCUGUAACUGACGCUGAGGCUCGAAAGCGUGGGGAGCGAACAGG